rnacentral:snoRNA from 1 species
UAUAAAGCUUUCAUGAUGAUUUCAAUGAUAGGACAGAAAAACAAUAAUUUCAUGUUGAUAAAUCAUUUAGCCGAUAUUAUUAAAUAGAUUACUGAUCGAUUGCUUUU